rnacentral:rRNA from 1 species
CCAGACUCCUACGGGAGGCAGCAGUGAGGAAUAUUGGUCAAUGGGAGGAAUCCUGAACCAGCCAUGCCGCGUGCAGGACGACGGCUCUACGAGUUGUAAACUGCUUUUGUACCGGGGUAAAAUGCCUUACGAGUAGGGUUUUGAAAGUACGGUACGAAUAAGGAUCGGCUAACUCCGUGCCAGCAGCCGCGGUAAUACGGAGGAUCCGAGCGUUAUCCGGAUUCAUUGGGUUUAAAGGGUGCGUAGGUUGUUUUAUAAGUUAGCGGUGAAAUACCGAUGCUCAACAUCGGGGCUGCCGCUAAUACUGUAGGACUAGAGAUCGGAUGCAGCAGGCGGAAUGUGUAGUGUAGCGGUGAAAUGCAUAGAUAUUACACAGAACACCGAUUGCGAAGGCAGCUUGCUAGGCCGGAUCUGACACUGAUGCACGAAAGCGUGGGGAUCGAACAGGAUUAGAUACCCCAGUA